ACGGCUUCAAUUUUUGAAUUUGAGAAUAAUUAGAUGCACUAUCUGGUGUAUAUAAGAUAUCUAUGGAAGAAGCCCACUUGGCUGCCUAUUUGAACUUUGAAGUCGGUCAUGGCGGCUGCUAUGCACGCAAAUUCAAUUUCAAAUGUGCUUUCAACAACCAUGGGCAUUUUUUGCUGAAGUUAGGAUUCUAUAGAUAGGGAGUCUUCCCUUUUAUUGGUAAACAGAAGAGAUGGGUAUCAUUAUUCACACAUCGUACACCCCCCUCCCCCCCAUUUCUGUCUGGAUUUCAGCUUCAGUCACAAGGGCAGUACUUUUGCCCAUUGUGGGGGGCGGGGCAGAGCCCCCUCUCCCCCACCACCUUGCUUACGCCACUGUUAAUUUAGUGUUUUUGGGUGUAUCCAUGCAAAAUGGGCAGCUUAACAGAAAUGUUUUUGUAGCAUUGAAUUAAUUUAAGAAUAUUAUAUAGUAACAUCUAGUACCAUAUACUUCUCAUAAUGAGAUAGCAUAAUUAAUGUAGUUUACUGACCAUGUUAUAUUAUACUAGUUUAUAAUAUGUAUAUUAUGUGAAUAAUUAUAUAUAAA